UAUCAUACUCCGGGCCAUAGCUAUUGCCAAAAAACACCGAUAAUCAACCACUUUAACGAUAACUAUAUAUGAAGGCAGUUACUGGGGUCAAGGAGGCAGGUUUUGGGUGGGAUAUCAGCAAACAUAAGAGGCUGAGUACGGCAAUCUGGCAACGUUGGUACUGAUGCGCGUGACCCCUCUGGGCGGCGCAGUUUCCCUUUUGACCGUAGACUUGGGGAUUUUGUGCCUCAUUGGGUUGUUUUUUGGGGGGUUAGUGAGUUAUUUUUUCUGUUAGGGGGGAUGUUAAGGGUUUACUGAAGGGGUUGGUAGUAGUAGUAGUAGUAGUAGUAGUAGUAGUAGUGUAGUAGUAGUUUUAUUAUUAUUAUUAUUAUUAUUAUUAUUAUUAUUAUUAUUAUUAUUAUUAUAUUACUGCUUGCUCUGUUAAAGAUCAAAAUGGCCCUUCUUAUUCAUAAAGUUAUAAAUAUAUUUCAAUAAUACUUCUGUACAUAAAAAGUCUUCUACUAAUCAAUCGAAUGAAGUUAGAUAUAAGUUCAGUAAAAUCAAUAACAUCACUCUUUUUGUAUAUAAAUCUCUGUGGCUUAACUCACUUCUGUUGGAAAAGAUUAAAAUUAUUGUAGAAGUAUUUUAAGGAGAGUGAGGAGAGACUUGGCAGUACUUUUUAUUGGUUGCUGAAAAGAUAUAUAAAUGUACUAUGUUAAGGUAUUUGAGGAGAGUGAGGAGAGACUUGACAGUACUUUUUAUUGGCAUCUGAAAAAGAUAUAUAAAUGUACUAUGUUAAGGUAUUUGAGGAGAGUGAGGAGAGACUUGGUAGUACUUUAUAUUGGUAGCUGAAAAGAUAUAUUAAUGUACUAUGCUAAGGUAUUUGAGGAGAGUGAGGAGAGACUUUUUGAUACUCUAAAGGGAUAGAUUAGGAGGAUGAAAGAUUAGAAGCUGUGAAUGGAAAGAGUAAGCGAGGGAGAGAGUAAGGUGUGGGAGUAGGAGGGAUAGAGAAUAAGGAGGAGGGAGAGAGAGUAAGGAGAGAGAGUAAGGAGGGAGAGUAAGGAGGGGAGAGAGUUAGGAGGGAAAGAGAGUUAGGAGGGAAAGAGAGUAAGGAAAAGAAAGUAAGGGGAGGAAAGAGUAAAGAAAAGUAAAGAGUAAGGGGUUGAAGAGAAAGAAAGGAGUUAGAGAAAGAGUAAGAUGCAAUACUAUAUGUGAAGAGAGAGCAGAGAGCAGAGAGAGAGUCCUACUUCAUACACAGACCACUAUAUCAUGUGUGAGGAAGAUAACAGGAGAGAUAAUAUAUACAAAUACCUCGAUAAGAGACAUGAUUGGUUUCCCAAGUGUGAUUCUGUGGCCAGGUCAGGGAUACCAGAACCUCAGAGUUUUCAGACGUAACAUCAGAGCUAUAGAGAGAGAGAAAUAGAUUAGGUGUUUGUGGGAGUGGAGGUGAAGUUAAGACAUGAAGUUAGCAUUGAAAGGAAGUAGUGUGGGAAUGUAUGGAUCAGAGUGGUAGUGGUAGGUGGUAGGUGGUUAGAGGUAGAUGUAGAACUAGGUGGUAUGGUAUGGAGGUGGUGAUGGGAGACAGAGGUACUGGUAAGUGGUUAGAGGUAGUGGUGGUAGUUGGUGGUAAGGUAUGAAGGUGGUGGUAGCAAGUAGAGGUAGAGGUUAGAGUUAGUGGUGGUGGUAGGUGGUAAAGUCUGAAGGUGGUGGUGGUGUCAGGUAGAGGUGGUUCAGAGUUAGUGGUGGUAUGGUCGAGUAAAGAUGGCAGGGGCAAGUAGAGGUAGAGGUAGGUGAUUAGAGUUAGUGGUGGUGGUAGUUGGGUUCAGCGUGUUGACUAUUCCCAUGAAGGUAUUGCUAAAACGAAGAAAAUAUGAUGGUAGUGGUGAGUAGAGGUAGUGGUAGCUGGUUAGUGUUAGUGAUGGUAGUCAGUGGAUUGAGAGUAGUGGUCGUGCAGAUGAAGAUACCACUAACAGGAAGGAAACAGUGGGUAGAUGAAAGAGGCAGUGGUGGGUGAUUAGAGUUAGUGGUUAGAGGUGGUGAGUUAGUGGUGGCUGUCUUGCAGGUGAAGGUAGUGCUGAAAGGGAGGGAAUGAUGUACAAAUGGGAUGGUGAGAGAAAGUAGUGUUAGUGGUAGGGGAGUUAGAGUUAGUGGUUAGAGGUAGAGGUAAGUGCAUGGUGUGAGUAGUGGCCGUAUAGAUGAAGGUAAUACUGAAAGGAAAGGUGAUGAUAAAAAAAAUAGUGGUAGGUGAUUAAGAGUUAGUGGUUAGUGGUUAGAGGUGGUUAGAGUUAGUGGUGGCUGUCUUGCAGGUGAAGGUAGUGUUGAAAAGCAGGGAAUAAUGUGCAAAUGGGGUGGUGAGAGAAAGUAGUGUUAGUGGUAGGGGAGUUAGAGUUAGAGUUAGAGGUUAGAGGUAGAGAUAAGUGAUGUUAGUAGUGGCCAUAUAGAUGAAGGUAAUACUGAAAGGAAAGGUGGUGAUAAAAAGUAGUGGUAGGUGAUUGAGUUAGAGGUUAGUGGUUAUAGGUUAGUGGUUAGAGGUGGUUAGAGUUAGUGGUGGCUGUCUUGCAGGUGAAGGUAGUGUUGAAAAGCAGGGAAUAAUGUGCAAAUGGGGUGGUGAGAGAAAGUAGUGUUAGUGGUAGGGGAGUUAGAGUUAGAGUUAGAGGUUAGUGGUUAGAGGUGGUGAGUUAGUGGUGGCUGUC